rnacentral:rRNA from 1 species
UACAGAGGGGGCAAGCGUUGUUCGGAAUUACUGGGCGUAAAGGGCGCGUAGGCGGCCUUCUAAGUCGAGCGUGAAAUCCCCAGGCUUAACCUGGGAACUGCAUCCGAUACUGGAUGGCUUGAAUUCGGGAGAGGGAUGCAGAAUUCCAGGUGUAGCGGUGAAAUGCGUAGAUAUCUGGAGGAAUACCGGUGGCGAAGGCGGCAUCCUGGACCGAGAUUGACGCUGAUGAGCGAAAGCUAGGGGAGCAAACAGG